GGGUUGUGAGGUUAAGCGACUAAGCGUACACGGUGGAUGCCCUGGCAGUCAGAGGCGAUGAAGGGCGUGCUAAUCUGCGAUAAGCGCCGGUAAGGUGAUAUGAACCGUUAUAACCGGCGAUACCCGAAUGGGGAAACCCAGUGUGAUUCGUCACACUAUCAUUAACUGAAUCCAUAGGUUAAUGAGGCGAACCGGGGGAACUGAAACAUCUAAGUACCCCGAGGAAAAGAAAUCAACCGAGAUUCCCCCAGUAGCGGCGAGCGAACGGGGAGGAGCCCAGAGCCUGAAUCAGCAUGUGUGUUAGUGGAAGCGUCUGGAAAGGCGCGCGAUACAGGGUGACAGCCCCGUACACAAAAGCGCAUGUGCUGUGAGCUCGAUGAGUAGGGCGGGACACGUGGUAUCCUGUCUGAAUAUGGGGGGACCAUCCUCCAAGGCUAAAUACUCCUGACUGACCGAUAGUGAACCAGUACCGUGAGGGAAAGGCGAAAAGAACCCCGGCGAGGGGAGUGAAAAAGAACCUGAAACCGUGUACGUACAAGCAGUGGGAGCNNNNNNNNNNNNNNNNNNNNNNNNNNNNNNNGGGCGUUAAGUUGCAGGGUAUAGACCCGAAACCCGGUGAUCUAGCCAUGGGCAGGUUGAAGGUUGGGUAACACUAACUGGAGGACCGAACCGACUAAUGUUGAAAAAUUAGCGGAUGACCUGUGGCUGGGGGUGAAAGGCCAAUCAAACCGGGAGAUAGCUGGUUCUCCCCGAAAGCUAUUUAGGUAGCGCCUCGUGAAUUCAUCUCCGGGGGUAGAGCACUGUUUCGGCUAGGGGGCCAUCCCGGCUUACCAACCCGAUGCAAACUGCGAAUACCGGAGAAUGUUAUCACGGGAGACACACGGCGGGUGCUAACGUCCGUCGUGAAGAGGGAAACAACCCAGACCGCCAGCUAAGGUCCCAAAGUCAUGGUUAAGUGGGAAACGAUGUGGGAAGGCCCAGACAGCCAGGAUGUUGGCUUAGAAGCAGCCAUCAUUUAAAGAAAGCGUAAUAGCUCACUGGUCGAGUCGGCCUGCGCGGAAGAUGUAACGGGGCUAAACCAUGCACCGAAGCUGCGGCAGCGACACUGUGUGUUGUUGGGUAGGGGAGCGUUCUGUAAGCCUGCGAAGGUGGCCUGUGAGGGUUGCUGGAGGUAUCAGAAGUGCGAAUGCUGACAUAAGUAACGAUAAAGCGGGUGAAAAGCCCGCUCGCCGGAAGACCAAGGGUUCCUGUCCAACGUUAAUCGGGGCAGGGUGAGUCGACCCCUAAGGCGAGGCCGAAAGGCGUAGUCGAUGGGAAACGGGUUAAUAUUCCCGUACUUGGUGUUACUGCGAAGGGGGGACGGAGAAGGCUAUGUUGGCCGGGCGACGGUUGUCCCGGUUUAAGCGUGUAGGUGUGUGUUCCAGGUAAAUCCGGUUCACUUUAACACUGAGGCGUGACGACGAGGCACUACGGUGCUGAAGCAACAAAUGCCCUGCUUCCAGGAAAAGCCUCUAAGCAUCAGGUAACAUCAAAUCGUACCCCAAACCGACACAGGUGGUCAGGUAGAGAAUACCAAGGCGCUUGAGAGAACUCGGGUGAAGGAACUAGGCAAAAUGGUGCCGUAACUUCGGGAGAAGGCACGCUGACACGUAGGUGAAGUGAUUUACUCAUGGAGCUGAAGUCAGUCGAAGAUACCAGCUGGCUGCAACUGUUUAUUAAAAACACAGCACUGUGCAAACACGAAAGUGGACGUAUACGGUGUGACGCCUGCCCGGUGCCGGAAGGUUAAUUGAUGGGGUCAGCGCAAGCGAAGCUCCUGAUCGAAGCCCCGGUAAACGGCGGCCGUAACUAUAACGGUCCUAAGGUAGCGAAAUUCCUUGUCGGGUAAGUUCCGACCUGCACGAAUGGCGUAAUGAUGGCCAGGCUGUCUCCACCCGAGACUCAGUGAAAUUGAACUCGCUGUGAAGAUGCAGUGUACCCGCGGCAAGACGGAAAGACCCCGUGAACCUUUACUAUAGCUUGACACUGAACAUUGAGCCUUGAUGUGUAGGAUAGGUGGGAGGCUUUGAAGUGUGGACGCCAGUCUGCAUGGAGCCGACCUUGAAAUACCACCCUUUAAUGUUUGAUGUUCUAACGUGGACCCGUUACCCGGGUUGCGGACAGUGUCUGGUGGGUAGUUUGACUGGGGCGGUCUCCUCCUAAAGAGUAACGGAGGAGCACGAAGGUUGGCUAAUCCUGGUCGGACAUCAGGAGGUUAGUGCAAUGGCAUAAGCCAGCUUGACUGCGAGCGUGACGGCGCGAGCAGGUGCGAAAGCAGGUCAUAGUGAUCCGGUGGUUCUGAAUGGAAGGGCCAUCGCUCAACGGAUAAAAGGUACUCCGGGGAUAACAGGCUGAUACCGCCCAAGAGUUCAUAUCGACGGCGGUGUUUGGCACCUCGAUGUCGGCUCAUCACAUCCUGGGGCUGAAGUAGGUCCCAAGGGUAUGGCUGUUCGCCAUUUAAAGUGGUACGCGAGCUGGGUUUAGAACGUCGUGAGACAGUUCGGUCCCUAUCUGCCGUGGGCGCUGGAGAACUGAGGGGGGCUGCUCCUAGUACGAGAGGACCGGAGUGGACGCAUCACUGGUGUUCGGGUUGUCAUGCCAAUGGCACUGCCCGGUAGCUAAAUGCGGAAGAGAUAAGUGCUGAAAGCAUCUAAGCACGAAACUUGCCCCGAGAUGAGUUCUCCCUGAGACUUAGAGUCUCCUGAAGGAACGUUGAAGACGACGACGUUGAUAGGCCGGGUGUGUAAGCGCAGCGAUGCGUUGAGCUAACCGGUACUAAUGAACCGUGAGGCUUAACCUUACAACGCCGAAG
rnacentral:rRNA from 1 species